AAUUUCAGUGUUCGAUAGUAAAAGUGCAAAAGUGUUUUUGUUUUUCGUUCAAAAUGAAGCGCUGUUGCGUGCCUAAGUGUAAAACAGCUAUUAAUUUACGUGCUGUACCAUAUACUAAUGUUACUGGUUAUGGAAGGUAUGGUUGAUCAAUUGCCUGUUUUUGCGUAAAUAUUCCUGUUUACCUUGCUAUGUUAUUAAUCAUAGGUUAAGGUUAACUAAGUCUGCGAUACUUACUUUGAAUUUGGAAAUUAGUGAUUUAAACCAAAACGCUGUUCUAGCACCUACAAAUUCCAAGUUCCUAGAGGUAUCUUGCAUCGGGCCUAAUAAAUACGAAUAAACGAUAGUUGACCAUGUAACUACUACUUCACAAACAAACAAAUAGCCUGAAAUGCAGACUAACGCAUUAAAUGUCAAUAUUAACGAACAAUCAGUUAUAUUUCUACAAAUAGUGUCUGUCUAGGCUCACAAUCCCAGUCCGAAUAUUUACAGAGUUCAAUUUUACCUGAUCCCCUGCCUUCUGCUUCACAGAAUCCCUUUGUGCAUGUUAGGCCUCAUUUUAGACACAAGCCUCAUAGAAAGUCUGACAUAAUUCCUAGAGUUCGAUCAGCUAAGUUUGAAACUCCUCGGAAGCAAAAGUUACGUCAGAAUAUUAGAACAUUAAAACAAAUGUUGCGCAAUGAGACUUACAAAUGCUAACAAUUAUAGUCAAAACUUUGUGCUAGUAAGGACAAUAUUUUAUUUCAAAUUAUCCUUUGUUAACUCAGUUUGGGAAAUUAUUAGUGGAUUCACAGUUAAGAUUAUCUGAUUCUAAAGUCAAAUCUCCUAGAUACACUAAUGAUGAGAAAAUCUUUGCACUUACAUUAUUUAAGUUGAUCCUUAAUUUUUACAAAUUCUUACAGAAAUAUUUAAUAUUCCUAUCCAAAUCAACUACAAACUCUCUAUUAACUAAAAUACCUGUGAGACCAGGUAUUAAUGAAUUUAUUUUCCAGCAUUUGGCUGAUUGUGCUAAGAACACACAGACUAUGGGUUUGCAGUGUAUAUUGUUGUUUGAUGAAAUGGCUGUCAACAAAAAUUUAUUUUUUAAUAUUCAUUCUGGGGUUAUUGAGGGUUUUGAAGACCUAGGAACAUAGGUGGUGAACAAGCAAAUAAUGUUGCAGAUAAAGUUUUAGUUUUUAUGUUACGUGGCUUAUUUCCAUCUUGGAAAAUACCUUUAGCUUAUUAUUUUCUCUGUGAUGGAAUAAAGACUUUAAAUUUAAAAAGAAUUCUUAGAGAAAUAAUUGAGGCAAUAUUUAAAUCUGGAUUUAUUUUAAGAGCUACGAUCUGUGAUUAAGGUUCUGCAAAUGUAGCUGCAAUAAAUUCAUUAAUAACUGAUACACGCAGAGAAUGCCUUCAUAAUAGUAAUGAAGACGCUGAAAAUAUAUUUUAUUAUAUGAUUAAUAACAACAAGGUAUAUCAUAUUCAUGAUGUUCCUCAUUUGUUAAAAUGCUUCCGUAAUAAUUUUCAGAAGAAGGACUUGAUCAUUGGAAAUCAGCAUGCUCAAUGGGCUUUCAUUGAACGGGCUUAUGCUACUGAUGGUGCAGGAGGACGUGCCAGAACCAUAGAUUUAAACGAUAAACAUAUAAACCCAAGUUCCUACGAUAAGAUGAAGAAUACCUGGAUCACUGGGCAUCUGCGUGCUCAAUAUGCUUCCAUCAAUGUUAAGAAUAUGCUACUGUUGGUGUAGGAGGAGGGUGUCCGAGAACAUAAAAAAUUACUUAAGAUGAAGGUCAAUUAUUAUGCUUCGGACGUCUUCAGUUACAGAGGUACACUGUACACUGCCUUUUACUCGGGAAAAUGAAGUCAUACGAAGAUCUUAGUUAUAGUGUUCCACAAUUAUGUUAACAUAACUCUCUUACAUACUUAUAACAUAAGCCUCUCUGGUUCAGUGGUUACCCUAUGUGGUCACGAGGUCCGGGGUUAAGAAAUAGAAUUAAGAAUUAAGAAAUAGAAUAGAAAAGGGCAUAAGAAAUUUUGACUUAUAAUUCUCAGUCCUUAGUUGGGAAUUUAGUGGUGUUACACCCUGUGCCUCAGAGUGUAUGUUAACUUGUCCCGGACAAGGCCACGUCCCGUAAAUAAUGGAUAAAACGCAAAUGGUAGAUACGCCACCUAAUUCUACAAUUCUAAGUUUUAUACUAAUUUACUACCCUCUAUAAGUGUACAAGUUUUUAAAAUAAUGGUUUUUUCGAUUCAAAAUUAGAUUUCAUCAUUUUUUACCGGACAAUGUGUUUUAAAUCGGGUCCUAAUGAAAGAAAAAUAAUUAUUACACAAAAAAUAGUCAAAUUAGUUAUAGAUAAUAAGGUGGUGUAUCUAUCAUAUUAGUCUGAUCUACAUGUGCUCUUUAGUAUAAAAAAAA
rnacentral:misc_RNA from 1 species